rnacentral:misc_RNA from 1 species
AAUCCUUCAAGCUCUGCUUGGUGUUGGGUGCAGGUCCGCCAGGGCCCGCCCAUAACUCGUUGGCGGUUGUCACCGGCUGAAGGCGUAGCAAAAUAUGCUGGAGCCCGGCGGCGGCCUGUCAGGUAACCACAACCAAAA